AUUGAACGCUGGCGGCGUGCUUAACACAUGCAAGUCGAUCGGUAACAGGUGUAGCAAUACAUGCUGACGAGAGGCGGACGGGUGAGUAAUGCUUGGGAAUCUGCCUAUUAGGUGGGGGACAACCCGGGGAAACUCGGGCUAAUACCGCAUACGCUCUACGGAGGAAAGCCGGGGACCGCAAGGCCUGGCGCUAAUAGAUGAGCCCAAGUCGGAUUAGCUAGUUGGUAGGGUAACGCCUACCAAGGCGACAAUCCGUAGCUGGUCUGAGAGGACGACCAGCCACACCGGAACUGAGACACGGUCCGGACUCCUACGGGAGGCAGCAGUGGGGAAUAUUGGACAAUGGGGGCAACCCUGAUCCAGCGACGCCGCGUGGGUGAAGAAGGCCUGCGGGUUGUAAAGCCCUUUCGGUGGGGAAGAAAGUCUCGACCUAAUACGUCGGGACCUUGACGUAACCCACUAAAGAAGCACCGGCUAACUCUGUGCCAGCAG
rnacentral:rRNA from 1 species